rnacentral:rRNA from 1 species
UCAAGCGAUUAAGCGCAUACGGUGGAUGCCUAGGCAGCCAGAGGCGAUGAAAGACGUGGAAGCCUGCGAUAAGGCUCGGUGAGGUGGCAAACGACCUGUGACCCGGGCAUGUCUGAAUGGGGAAACCCACCCAGCACAAGCUGGGUAUCCCACCCUGAAUCCAUAGGGGUGGGAGGCGAACCGGGGGAACUGAAACAUCUAAGUACCCCGAGGAAAAGAAAUCAACCGAGAUUCCCCCAGUAGCGGCGAGCGACCGGGGAGCAGCCCUUAAGCGUCAUGAUUGAUAGGCGAACGCGUUGGGAAGCGCGGCCAUAGCGGGUGAUAGCCCCGUAGCCGAAAUCCGAGUGACGUGAAAUCGAGUAAGUCGGGGCACGAGAAACCUUGACUGAAGACGGGGGGACCAUCCUCCAAGGCUAAAUACUCCUGGCUGACCGAUAGUGAACCAGUACCGUGAGGGAAAGGCGAAAAGAACCCCGGCGAGGGGAGUGAAAUAGAUCCUGAAACCGUAUGCGUACAAGCAGUGGGAGCCCCAUCACUAAGCUUCUUCGUGAUGUGGACCUGUCAUGGCGUCCGCUUGGCGGUUAACGUUGCCUGCAACGUUCAACCGCACCAAUCGAGCAGAGGUGGCUUAGUGAUGGGGUGACCGCGUACCUUUUGUAUAAUGGGUCAGCGACUUAUAUUCAGUGGCGAGCUUAACCGCGUAGGGGAGGCGUAGGGAAACCGAGUCUUAACAGGGCGAUGAGUCGCUGGAUAUAGACCCGAAACCGGGCGAUCUAUCCAUGGCCAGGGUGAAGGUUGAGUAACAUCAACUGGAGGCCCGAACCCAAGUAUGUUGAAAAAUGCUGGGAUGAGCUGUGGAUCGGAGUGAAAGGCUAAUCAAGCUCGGAGAUAGCUGGUUCUCCUCGAAAGCUAUUUAGGUAGCGCCUCACGUAUCACCGCCGGGGGUAGAGCACUGUUUCGGCUAGGGGCCCAUCCCGGGUUACCAAACCGAGGCAAACUCCGAAUACCGGUGAGUGCAGCGUGGGAGACACACAGCGGGUGCUAACGUCCGUUGUGAAAAGGGAAACAACCCAGACCGUCAGCUAAGGUCCCGAAAUCCUGGUUAAGUGGGAAACGAGGUGGGAAGGCUUAGACAGCUAGGAGGUUGGCUUAGAAGCAGCCAUCCUUUAAAGAAAGCGUAAUAGCUCACUAGUCGAGUCGGCCUGCGCGGAAGAUGUAACGGGGCUAAACCAGGUACCGAAGCUACGGGUAUGCCUGCAUCACUUAAGGCUAUUCGCUUACGCGAGUGAAACGAGCGAACGCGUCCCACGAACGGUGAGUGGGUGUGCGCGCGGACAUUGGCGUAACGAGUGGGUUUAAGGAUGCAGGCAUGCGGUAGAGGAGCGUCGUGUACGCCGAUGAAGGUUCGUUGAGAAGCGAGCUGGAGGUAUCACGAGUGCGAAUGCUGACAUGAGUAACGACAAGGGAUGUGAAAACCAUCCCCGCCGGAAGACCCAGGGUUUCUGUUCGACGUCAAUCGGAGCAGAGUGAGUCGGCCCCUAAGGCGAGGCCGAAAGGCGUAGUCGAUGGGAAACGGGUUAAUAUUCCCGUACCUCACGUGAUUGCGAUGGGGGGACGAAGAAGGCUAGGUGAGCCGGGCGUUGGUUGCCCCGGUGAAAGUGUGUAGGCAAGUGACUCAGGUAAAUCCGGGUCGCUCUUUCAAAGAGACUGCCGAGACACGAGACGAACAGGCCACGGCCUGGAAGUCAUUGAUGCCACGCUUCCAAGAAAAGCCUCUAAGCUUCAGAUCACGUGAGACCGUACCCCAAACCGACACAGGUGGUCAGGGUGAGAAUCCUAAGGCGCUUGAGAGAACUCGGGUGAAGGAACUAGGCAAAAUGGUGCCGUAACUUCGGGAGAAGGCACGCCGGCGUUAGGUGAACACCCUUGCGGUGGGAGCCGAAGCCGGUCGAAGAGUCCAGGUGGCUGCAACUGUUUAUUAAAAACACAGCACUCUGCUAACGCGUAAGCGGACGUAUAGGGUGUGACGCCUGCCCGGUGCCGGAAGGUUAAGUGAUGGUGUUAGCGCUUGCGCGAAGCUCUUGAUCGAAGCCCCGGUAAACGGCGGCCGUAACUAUAACGGUCCUAAGGUAGCGAAAUUCCUUGUCGGGUAAGUUCCGACCUGCACGAAUGGCGUAAUGAUGGCCACGCUGUCUCCACCCGAGACUCAGUGAAAUUGAAAUCGCCGUGAAGAUGCGGUGUACCCGCGGCUAGACGGAAAGACCCCGUGAACCUUUACUAUAGCUUCACACGGGACGCUGAUGUUGCUUGUGUAGGAUAGCUGGGAGGCUAGGAAACCCGGACGCCAGUUCGGGUGGAGCCACCCUUGAAAUACCAGCCUGGCAUCAUUGGCGUUCUAACUUGGCACCGUGAUCCGGUGUGAGGACAGUGUGUGGUGGGUAGUUUGACUGGGGCGGUCUCCUCCCAAAGCGUAACGGAGGAGCACGAAGGUACCCUCAGCACGGUUGGAAAUCGUGCAGUGAGUGCAAGAGCAUAAGGGUGCUUAACUGCGAGACAGACACGUCGAGCAGAUACGAAAGUAGGUUCUAGUGAUCCGGUGGUUCUGCAUGGAAGGGCCAUCGCUCAACGGAUAAAAGGUACUCCGGGGAUAACAGGCUGAUACCGCCCAAGAGUUCACAUCGACGGCGGUGUUUGGCACCUCGAUGUCGGCUCAUCACAUCCUGGGGCUGAAGUCGGUCCCAAGGGUAUGGCUGUUCGCCAUUUAAAGUGGUACGCGAGCUGGGUUUAGAACGUCGUGAGACAGUUCGGUCCCUAUCUGCCGUGGGCGUCGGAAGUUUGAGAAGGGCUGCUCCUAGUACGAGAGGACCGGAGUGGACGCACCGCUGGUGUUCCGGUUGUCAUGCCAAUGGCAUUGCCGGGUAGCUAUGUGCGGACGGGAUAACCGCUGAAAGCAUCUAAGCGGGAAGCCCCCUUCAAGAUGAGACUUCCCUGGGGCCUUGCGCCCCCUGAAGGACCCUCGAAGACGACGAGGUUGAUAGGCGCGGUGUGGACGUGCGGCAACGCAUUGAGCUAACGCGUACUAAUGGUCCGUGAGGCUUGACCCU